CGCCGCGUGAGUGAUGAAGGUCUUCGGAUCGUAAAACUCUGUUAUUAGGGAAGAACAAAUGUGUAAGUAACUAUGCACGUCUUGACGGUACCUAAUCAGAAAGCCACGGCUAACUACGUGCCAGCAGCCGCGGUAAUACGUAGGUGGCAAGCGUUAUCCGGAAUUAUUGGGCGUAAAGCGCGCGUAGGCGGUUUUUUAAGUCUGAUGUGAAAGCCCACGGCUCAACCGUGGAGGGUCAUUGGAAACUGGAAAACUUGAGUGCAGAAGAGGAAAGUGGAAUUCCAUGUGUAGCGGUGAAAUGCGCAGAGAUAUGGAGGAACACCAGUGGCGAAGGCGACUUUCUGGUCUGUAACUGACGCUGAUGUGCGAAAGCGUGGGGAUCAAACAGGAUUAGAUACCCUGGUAGUCCACGCCGUAAACGAUGAGUGCUAAGUGUUAGGGGGUUUCCGCCCCUUAGUGCUGCAGCUAACGCAUUAAGCACUCCGCCUGGGGAGUACGACCGCAAGGUUGAAACUCAAAGG
rnacentral:rRNA from 1 species